AUUGAACGCUGGCGGCAUGCUUUACACAUGCAAGUCGAACGGUAACAGGGUGCUUGCACCGCUGACGAGUGGCGAACGGGUGAGUAAUGCGUCGGAACGUGCCGAGUAGUGGGGGAUAACGCAGCGAAAGUUGUGCUAAUGCCGCAUACGUACUGAGGUAGAAAGUGGGGGACCUUCGGGCCUCACGCUAUUCGAGCGGCCGACGUCUGAUUAGCUAGUAGGUGAGGUAACGGCUCACCUAGGCGACGAUCAGUAGCGGGUCUGAGAGGAUGAUCCGCCACACUGGGACUGAGACACGGCCCAGACUCCUACGGGAGGCAGCAGUGGGGAAUUUUGGACAAUGGGCGAAAGCCUGAUCCAGCCAUGCCGCGUGUCUGAAGAAGGCCUUCGGGUUGUAAAGGACUUUUGUCAGGGAGGAAAUCCCUAGUGCUAAUAACACUGGGGGAUGACAGUACCUGAAGAAUAAGCACCGGCUAACUACGUGCCAGCCGCCGCGGUAA
rnacentral:rRNA from 1 species